AGCUUUCUUAUCUCUCACUUUGGGGAUCUCAGGAAAUGAGACACCAGGAGGUGUCUGCUGUACAAAAUCCUAUUUGCUCAAGGAACCUGCAUAUCUCAGCUCAUGUUUCUUAAUCAUUUUUCUGAUUCUAAAAAGUCGAUGACAAAACUUCGAUAGAAACACAGUUCUAGCAUUUGGGAUUGGAGGAAGAAGUGUAUUCAGCAUUCUACCUUCUUCCUGAUUCUGUGAGCUUAGACCUGCUUCCACUUUCAAUCUCUCUCAUUGCAGGCUGAAGAGGACUGGCCUUUCAGUGGCCCUCGUGGAACGGUAGGAAGCUGAGCUGGACUCUCUGCCACAUCGUUCGGUUCCCACAACAGCCUGAAAUGGGGUCUUGCCUUGUUGCCCAGGCUGGAGUGCAGCAACGUGAUCAUAGUUUACUGUAGCCUGGGCUCAACUCCUGGGCUCCAGUGAUCCUCCCGCCUCAGCCUCACAAGUAGCUGGGACCAUAGGUGUGAGCCACUGUGUUUGGCUGUAAUCGUUGUUAUUGUAGGCGCAUGUGCAUGAGGACCCUCCCUUCUUAGGCUCCUGACUCUACUUUGCUUGGGUUUGAAACAAGUGACUCCAUCUUGAAAUGGACAACUGGCACAGAAUAGAGCAUUUCAAGGGCAGAUUAGAUGGCAACUUAAAAAAAAGGUAAAGAAAAAUUAAAGAAAAAAUUAAAGAUGAAGCAGCAGCAGAAAAAAUGGAAGCCAUUUUGGUUAACGGGUCACAUCUUAGCAGUUGGCAGCGUAAGAAGCGGAAGGAUCCACUGGUCAGAAAUGGAGAUUGAGGAGAAGCUGAGAGCACGGAGGGCUUCAGGGGAGAGCCUGUCCUUUGGAAAAGCGGGCAAUUUGCACUCGUGGUAGAUGAGUGGGGAGGCCGCUCAGUCUCUCUGCCCCUUUGCACAUGCUGCACCCGUUUAGUUUGACGUCGUGGAGAGCUCCUCCAGGCACGGGCUGUGUGAAAGGGUUUAAAAGUUUGGGGGCAUGGCUGGGGGUCCCCGCAUGAGGGGUGCUGUGUAGGCUCCCAUCUUUUCUGCCGGUCAUGCUGGGAGCCAACAGCACCGGCUCCUGACGUGGGGACUUGCCCUGUGCCAUGACGUGGGGACUCGCCCUGUGCCCUGCGCCCCGGUUCCUGCUGGUUCUGUGCCUUCUGGACUCAUUUCCUUUCCAGGGUCCGCAACCGCUUCCGACACAAUCACUAUUUUGGCUGCGGCCACGGCUUCAUUCGCUUCAGCUGCGAGCUUUUCUCAGCGCAGAGAGCACAGGGAAGCUGGGAGGAGUCCGCCUAGAUGGGUAAGGACGGUAUUUUUGGCAGCAGUUCCGGGGACCCUCCCCUGAUCAGCCUGCACUUCCGCCCUGGGUUGAGGGGAGCAUUUCCAGCGAGGGGGCGAAGAGGUGAGAGCAGCUGGGGAGAGCCAGGGGCUGAGGGCCCUUUGCUUUCUGAAGUGUGGCGUCAUCACGGGUGCUGAAGGAGACACAGGGUGGCUGCGUGAUCAGUCUCUGCCCUGGAAUCUCUGUGUUCAGCCCAUGUCAUCUUCUCAGGAGUGAUGGAAGCUCCCACUGGAGAACACUUUCUGGUCUUGAGCCCCCCGAUCUCUUGAUCCCUAUGGCAGUGAGCCCCGACUCUUGCUCUGGUCGCCACUGGAUCAUCUGUGGGUGUUGGCAGGAACCUGAAGGUGUUGGAAGGGGUUGAGGGUAACGCAUAGCCUGUGCUAGAAUAUGUGGGGGAAUGUCCACAGGAGACGGGAUGGAAGAGAGAGAAGAGGACGCCCCUGCUUCCAGGGGCAAGUGGGUACAACCAGAGGACGGGACAAUGUUCCCCUGGAGAAUGGCCCAGGCUCCAUCUAGACCUGGCUGGUCCCAGUCCCAGGCUUGUCCUAGGUCCUUGGCAUCCGUGCUGGUAGCAACCCCAGGGCCACCCUCAGCGUCUCAUGACGUCUACCCUUCUCUGGCCCCUGUAGAAAUUAUGUUCAAGAGAAAACACCCGGGGGGUCACAAUGAUAACAAUAACACCACCACCUGUGCCCCGUGGGUGUGAGGCUGUCAUGGAGAAAGCAGAGCUCCUGAAGGGGCCUCAGCUGAGAAACGGCUAGAAUUUCCUGUGUGGGUUGUGGGGAGUGACUAUGGAAUUCAGAGGCAGAGCGGAAUCUACUUGGGCUGUUGUGGCAGGAACCUAGACUCCAGAGGGACCCUGGUUAGGCUCUCAGAGAAGGGAGCCCCGGAAAGUGAGCCAAGGAACGGGCCUUUGUCCCCAAGGCUGGAGCCACAGGCUCUGUUUCCCUGGCCAGAGGCAAGGGGGGCCCUUUGGGGUCUCAUGGUUCAGGUGGCCUCUUCUUUCUUAGGCCUCUUCCUCCAGAUCCCCACUCCCCCCACGGGGCACAGCCCCAUGUGUGGAGUCGGCCUUGACUCUGCCCUUCAGUCUCCCUGCCCAGAGCCGGCUGCACCGGCUGUCAUUCCCCAGUCCCGCUUCCCGCAGGCCCCUACCCAGAUACUGAUGCUGUGGCACCCACCACCACAUGGGGGACCCUGGGCAAAGCGUUAGUGCUUGACAGACAUUGGGUCCUCCGGUCCCCCUCCAGUGCCAUGAGCUAACAGUUGUAUCCCCAUCACACAGAUGACAAAACUGGGAGGCAGCACGGUUCAUGAGCUUGUGCAAGUUCACACAGGGCGUGAUUGACGGGGCUGGGAUUCAGAUGCAGUUAGGACACUGCCUUAUCUCAGGCUCUGCUGCUCCCCAGACUUCUUGGCCCUGACGCUCCUUUCGAGGUUAUGGAACUCUCUUGAAUGUCUCUGUUGGCUGCAGCCAGCCAAUUAAUUACCCUGCAUGAAUGGGGACUAUGGGUGACAGUUUCCGCUGUCCCAAGUUCUGGCUGAAGUCUCCAUUCUAUUGGGUUAGGGGCCAGAUGCCUGAGGACCUGCAGGAGGCCAGGGCUGCAUGCUGAAUGAGAACUUUACCUGGGCCACCAAGUCCUUCUGAGCACAGGUGCUGCUCCCUGCAGUCAGGACAUGCUGGCCGGGGUCUCUGACCUUCACCUGGAAUGCUCCUGGAAGCCCCUGUGUGACAAUCUCCACCACAGUCAGCUGCAGCCUCACAGGCCUUGUGUCAUUUCCCACUAUAGGACCAGGGAACCAGGCUGACCAGAAGACCUACGAGGAGAAAUAGAAAGCUUGGGAGGUUGAAGUGGAAAGCCAGGUGUCCAUUUCUCUGCCUGCAGAAUGAGUCCCCAGGGAGCCCAGCGGCCAGGGCAAGGUGUCAGGGGCCCCGUCACAGCUGCGGGAAGGCCACAUGGGGGGCAGCUGUGGGCAUGGGGCCAGAGCCCAGGAAGCUGUGGCUCUGGGGGAGGGUUUGUGCCCCUGGGAUGUCUGAAUGCAGCUCUGGGGUGGGGCCAGCCUGGGCCUGGAGCUCCUGCAGGCUGGUCUAGUGCCAGGCCCGGGGGAAGGCAGAGUCAGAGACUGGGGGACUUUGCUUCUGCUCACUGUGUCUCCAGUGUCAGGAGCUGGCUCAGGACUCGUGAAUGUCCACAUCAGAAGAGGGGCUUAAGCCAUGAGGAUUGAGGCUUCCCUCCAGACCUGAGUGGGUGGGGAGGGGAGAGGGUGAGGGCAAUGGCCACACCUGCUCCAUCCACUCCCUGGAAUAAAGGAGUGGUGUUUUUUUCAUUCCUCACUCACUCAUUCUUCCAUCCCUGGUGUGCCAGGCCCCGUUUUGGUGCUGGAAUAGAGUCAUAAGCAAGACAGACAUAGUCCCCACCUUCAGAAAGCUUUUGUUUGGUGCAAUGGUGUGGAAAUGCAUCUUGAAUAUUACAGAGGAACAAUUUGGAGUGGAGCUCAAGUCAUUCCAGAAACUCCCACUUUUUAAAAAUUUUAUUUUAUUUUGUAUUUUUACAUACAUUUUUUGAGACAAGGUCUUGCUCUGUUACCCAGUCUGGAGUGCAGUGGUGCAAUCAUAGCUCACUACAGCCUAUACCUCCUGGGUUCAAGUGAUCCUCCCAUCUCAGCCUCCCAGGUAGCUGGGACCACAGGUGCAUAUCACCAAGCUCAGCUAAUUUUAAAACUUUUUUUGCAAAGAUGGAGUCUCUCUAUGUUUCCCAGGCUGGUCUUGAAAUCCUGGCCUCAGGGGAUCUUCCCUUCUUGGCCUCCAAAAGUGUUGGGAUUACAGGUGUGAGCCAAC
rnacentral:lncRNA from 10 species